GAUGAACGCUGGCGGCGUGCCUAAUACAUGCAAGUCGAGCGAACGGACGAGAGGCUUGCUUCUCUGAUGUUAGCGGCGGACGGGUGAGUAACACGUGGAUAACCUACCUAUAAGACUGGGAUAACUUCGGGAAACCGGAGCUAAUACCGGAUAAUAUUUUGAACCGCAUGGUUCAAAAGUGAAAGACGGUCUUGCUGUCACUUAUAGAUGGAUCCGCGCUGCAUUAGCUAGUUGGUAAGGUAACGGCUUACCAAGGCAACGAUGCAUAGCCGACCUGAGAGGGUGAUCGGCCACACUGGAACUGAGACACGGUCCAGACUCCUACGGGAGGCAGCAGUAGGGAAUCUUCCGCAAUGGGCGAAAGCCUGACGGAGCAACGCCGCGUGAGUGAUGAAGGUCUUCGGAUCGUAAAACUCUGUUAUUAGGGAAGAACAUAUGUGUAAGUAACUGUGCACAUCUUGACGGUACCUAAUCAGAAAGCCACGGCUAACUACGUGCCAGCAGCCGCGGUAAUACGUAGGUGGCAAGCGUUAUCCGGAAUUAUUGGGCGUAAAGCGCGCGUAGGCGGUUUUUUAAGUCUGAUGUGAAAGCCCACGGCUCAACCGUGGAGGGUCAUUGGAAACUGGAAAACUUGAGUGCAGAAGAGGAAAGUGGAAUUCCAUGUGUAGCGGUGAAAUGCGCAGAGAUAUGGAGGAACACCAGUGGCGAAGGCGACUUUCUGGUCUGUAACUGACGCUGAUGUGCGAAAGCGUGGGGAUCAAACAGGAUUAGAUACCCUGGUAGUCCACGCCGUAAACGAUGAGUGCUAAGUGUUAGGGGGUUUCCGCCCCUUAGUGCUGCAGCUAACGCAUUAAGCACUCCGCCUGGGGAGUACGACCGCAAGGUUGAAACUCAAAGAAAUUGACGGGGACCCGCACAAGCGGUGGAGCAUGUGGUUUAAUUCGAAGCAACGCGAAGAACCUUACCAAAUCUUGACAUCCUUUGACAACUCUAGAGAUAGAGCCUUCCCCUUCGGGGGACAAAGUGACAGGUGGUGCAUGGUUGUCGUCAGCUCGUGUCGUGAGAUGUUGGGUUAAGUCCCGCAACGAGCGCAACCCUUAAGCUUAGUUGCCAUCAUUAAGUUGGGCACUCUAAGAUGACUGCCGGUGACAAACCGGAGGAAGGUGGGGAUGACGUCAAAUCAUCAUGCCCCUUAUGAUUUGGGCUACACACGUGCUACAAUGGACAAUACAAAGGGCAGCGAAACCGCGAGGUCAAGCAAAUCCCAUAAAGUUGUUCUCAGUUCGGAUUGUAGUCUGCAACUCGACUACAUGAAGCCGGAAUCGCUAGUAAUCGUAGAUCAGCAUGCUACGGUGAAUACGUUCCCGGGUCU
rnacentral:rRNA from 1 species